CACGGCACGUGGGAUCUUCCCAGACCGGGGCACGAACCCGUGUCCCCUGCAUCGGCAGGCAGACUCUCGACCACUGCGCCACCAGGGAAGCCCCCAUAUUACCAAUUUCUUCAAGAAAUUACAGUGAUCAUUGUUAAUAAGGUUUUAUAAAUAAGCGUUUUUAGAAAUCCAUCCCGCAUUUUAAGAGUCCACAGCACCUGCAGGAAGCUCCUGUCAGAGCACAGCUCUGGUCCCUGCUUCCUUGGCAGUCAGUGGCCCCUCUUUCAGUACAGUACUGACGGCUGCCACUGUCUUGACUUUUAAGGCAGUGCUUCUAAUACUUUGCCAUUAAGUAUAUCAUUUGCAAGAGGGCUUUGCUUUCCCAACCUGUUAUUACUCGUAGUUUUACUCAAGUUUUUAAUGAAGAAUGAAUGUUUGUUUCAAGUUAUUUUCAACAGAUUAUCCACUGAGAUCAUGUGUUUUGUUUUUUCCUCUAAUAUGUUAAUGAAUCAUUCCCAUCAGCAAUGUAAACAUGCUCUCUUAAAAAAAUGAAUCAAAACCUCAUACUUCUCUCCCCUUCCUUUUUACAGUAAAAUGCCAUCUCCCAUUCUCUUUUUAACUCAGCUCUACCAAAACUGCUCUUGUCAAGGUCACCAUUCAGCAAGCCUGGGAUCCUCUUAGCAAAUCCGGCUGCCUCUACAGUUUAUUCCACCACUCUCCAGCGUCCCUGCAGCUCAGGGCCAUGGUGACACUUAAAAGGUAACAUUUUGAUGCACUGCACAGUAGUUGAGAAGAUGGUCUCCAGUGUAUUGCAGGUGUCUUAUCUACCAGCAUUAACGUGACCCUACAAGUGCCUAUUCCUAUGAAGCGUAGGUGGUCAAAGAAUGAAGCCAUUCACAGCAGUGUACAUAGUUGCAUCUCCAGAGUGCAGCUGCAAAACCCACUGGCACCGAAGUACACAGAGAAAACUACCCAACCAGAUAUAACCAGCCUUGUGAGUCCUACCCAGAUCCAAAGAACAGCAGGGGAGAAGAAUCUUAGGAGAACAGCACUAGACUUGACGUACAAGCAAACUCUAACUCAAGAAUGCCCUGAGGAGGGAAGAAAACAAUCUGUGAAAACCCAGGCGUGAAUCAGAUAUUUCAAAGAAGGCCUUUCUGGUAACAACAACUGCAGCUCGCUUCAACUGAGCCUCGCACUGCUCCCAACCAGUGGACACGGCUUUAUCACCACCACAGCACAGUUAAGAAGCUAAAGGCUAGGAAGCCAGACCAGCCCCUGCUUUUUGUGCACUGCCCACCACAGGAAGCCACUCCUUACACUGCCGCAUGAGAAGCACGUUUACAACACUGCUCUUGGGCAGUGGUUACCAAUUUCACACACGAGUUCAAUUCAGAAGUGAAACAAAACCAAACCAACCGAGGGAAAGCAGCCUUCUAUUUUGGUAUGGAUAGGAUAAGCAACAAAAACCACCAUCACUGCCUCUUUUUCUUUCACAGAAGAGGAGGAAGAAAUUUCUGGCUCCAUAGUUUGGGUACGGUUAAGAUCUGUGCAUUUUACUGAACGUAAAGAUUACUCAAAACCAACCCGCCCACCCAUAAACAAGCACCCCCCCCCCAGUCAUCUAUGCAUGCUAAGAUGACUGGGGGUGAAAUGUACUGGUGUCUGACACUUCCUUUCAAGCGGUUAAAAAUCAGAUGGAAGGUGAUAAAACAAAUAUAACAAAAUGUUAAUAAAUUACAGAAUCAAGGAUCUAUGGGAAUUUACAGUGUAACUCUUUACAAUGUUCAUCAUGUUUGAAAUUUUUCAUAAUAAAAUAUUAGAAAAAAACCCAAAA